GACGAACGCUGGCGGCGUGCUUAACACAUGCAAGUCGAACGGUCAGGCCCUUCGGGGUACACGAGUGGCGAACGGGCGAGUAACACGUGGGUGAUCUGCCCUGCACUUCGGGAUAAGCCUGGUAAACUGGGUCUAAUACCGGAUAGGACUCCUGGCCUAAUGUCUGGGGGUCGAAAGCUUUUGCGGUGUGGGAUGGGCCCGCGGCCUAUCAGCUUGUUGGUGGGGUAAUGGCCUACCAAGGCGACGACGGGUAGCCGGCCUGAGAGGGUGACCGGUCACACUGGGACUGAGAUACGGCCCAGACUCCUACGGGAGGCAGCAGUGGGGAAUAUUGCACAAUGGGCGCAAGCCUGAUGCAGCGACGCCGCGUGAGGGAUGACGGCCUUCGGGUUGUAAACCUCUUUCAGCUAUGACGAAGCGCAAGUGACGGUAGUAGCAGAAGAAGGACCGGCCAACUACGUGCCAGCCGCCGCGGUAA
rnacentral:rRNA from 1 species